rnacentral:rRNA from 1 species
UACGUAGGGGGCGAGCGUUAAUCGGAAUUACUGGGCGUAAAGCGUGCGCAGGCGGUUCGUUGUGUCGGCGGGGAAAGCCCCGGGCUUAACCUGGGAAUGGCCGUUGAAACUGGCGAACUGGAGUGUGGCAGAGGGGGGUGGAAUUCCGCGUGUAGCAGUGAAAUGCGUAGAGAUGCGGAGGAACACCGAUGGCGAAGGCAGCCCCCUGGGCUAACACUGACGCUCAGGCACGAAAGCGUGGGGAGCAAACAGG